rnacentral:lncRNA from 1 species
AUUGACGAGGAGAGAGAGAAGCGGGGACCACCAUUGAUGCAUCGUGAGCGCAGGAGAGAGAGAUGCAAGAAGAGAGAAAAUAGAGCUGGGCCACUGCGAGGGAGUCCUGGAUCACCAUCGAUCUGAGUCAAGCACGCGGCCAGAAAGAUCCCCGACGAGAAUAACUGAAUGUGAGGACCUGGGAUUUGUUCAUCAGCGAUUGCCGCUGCUGUGUGUCCGCCCCUCAUCGAGGCCUCCUCUAACCGUCGCUUAAUCACAGGUAAAAAGUCCCUAAAUGCAUUCGCGACACCUUAAUCUUCGUGUUCCCGUCGGUAAUUGGAUCUGCGUGAGCCUGCGUACUAGUUUGGUAUGUCGCCGUGGAGUGCCGCGCCGCCGGGUGUGUCGUGCGGGCCACUACUGCUGGGGGCUGAGAAGGAAGACGAUGGGAGAAACGUCGAUUUCUGGUGGAGGGCUCAGAUUGAACGCUGCGUACACCCCUUCGCUGGUUUGAUCUGAGCGGUUGGUUCCGAUCGGACGGACCUGGUGUGAUCACGGUUAUUUAAAAUAUAGGCCGUUGAUCUGGCCAGGGACGGAUACGAUUAGACUGGGCGCUUACCUCUUCGUUGGUUGAGUAUGUACUGUUGAUCUAUAAUCUAACGGUUGUGAUGCGCGCGGGGUUAGGCAGCCGAGCCAGCUUUACGUAAGAGCCCUCGAGAUUUAAGGUAAUAAACCCGCCGUCCAUUUUUUUAGUAUAAAGAAAGUAAAAUUAAAUGAAGACUUUGCGUUUUAGCCCAUGGGGUUUGUUUUUAGGCACAAAAUUGAUACAAAUAUGCACAAAAGCUAAGAAAAUCCAUAUCUUGCUCAUGUUAACUCCAUUUUAGUCCGUUUAAGUUGCGUUAGCUUCGUAAUAAAAUUAUCUACACUUUGGUAACCUUAUUUUAUCAUGAAACAUGUUUGUAAAUAAUUAAUUUGUUUACCCUAUGUUCAUUGGAUUAACUUCUUUAUUUAAAAUUAAAGUAAAAUUUUCGCUUCCUAGUUGUAAUUUGACUUAAAUAUGUUUUCUAAUCAAGUUAUAACUUGGGUUAAAAUUAAAUUAAUGGUUUCUUAGGAAUAUAUUUCUCACGUGAUUUAUAAUAAUCAACCUAGAACCUAGUUUUCCUGUUUAAUCACAUAAACCUUCGGAAAAUCAUAACUUUAUAACCGUAGCUCCUAAUUUAGCAAUUCUCGAGCCCGCGAUCUCAUAGCUUCGCGUAGAUUAUUAUUACACAGUUUAUUCUUAUAUUUGGUGUGAUGUUAAUUUUGUCUAUACCAUGUUUGUUUGUAUUGCUACGACUAGCGUGAGGUCACGAGUCACCUGAAGAUCAUCCUGGUACCUGGAAUCUCAAGUCCCAGGCAAGUUGUGCCCUUGAUCACUUCUUUUACCCACUCAUAUUCUAAUUAAUCAUAAUGAUCUGCAUAGGUUAAUUUGAUGGGACCUAAUAGGUUACCCUAGUUUGUCUAUCUUUAUGCCUUGUUUACCACUAAACUUUCUGGGUAGUACUUGCUAGUGCUAUAUGUGGAUUUGGGCAUUGAGAUACAUAUUAUUCAUACUUUUGUUAUCAGUUGCUAUUUACUGUUCAUGAUAAGAUCAUUCUGUUAAUUGGAACAUGGAGAACCACCCGGGAAAACAGUGCUACCACAAGGGUUUAAUGGGACGCCCUUGGCCGAUUAAUUAGGAAAGCUAGUGGAAGACUACCUUACCCGAAAGGGGCAAGGGCAGUAGGGGAGUGGUCAGUGUAGGGAGGCCCUCGGGAGGAUUUUGCUGCGAUGGCGGUCCUGCAAGGGAUUCCUGCAUUGGAGCUUCCUAUAAACUGUAGCGGGUUUUCUGAAGCUAGUGGAACUUUGUAAAGGCCUCGUAGUGUUACCCUGCCUCGCCUCCUCGAUAGAGGUGUAUGGGAAGUCGCGAUCCCUUGGCAGAUGGGUAACAUGACUUGUGGGUAAAGAUGCGCAACCUCUACAGAGUGUAAAACUGGUAUACUAGCCGUGCUCACGGUCAUGAGCAGCUCGGACACUCACAUGAUUAAAUUAUGAAACUUAAACUCAAUUUGUCAUAUGCAUUGCAUCGCAGGUGAGGUUGUUACUUUUGUUCUGCUACUUAAUUGGGUUGGUAUUUACUUAUACUUAGUAAUUGCUAAUAAAAUUUUGACCAACAUUAAAAGCAAUGCUCAGCUUCAACCAUCCUCUUUGGUAAGCCUUACACUUCACGUGAGCUCCCACCUUUGGCGAGUUCAUGCACAUUAUUCCCCACAACUUGUUGAGCUAUGAACGUAUGUGAGCUCACUCUUGCUGUCUCACACCCCCCCACAGGUCAAGAACAGGUACCGCAGGAUGAGGCACAUGGAGGAUGCUGUGAUGAGUUCGUGAGAGAGAUCUAGGCCGUCGUCUCCCAGUCAACUUUGGGUUGCUGGACCGUUG